AUGAACGCUGGCGGCGUGCCUAAUCCCUGCAAGUCGCGCGAACAGACGAGGAGCUUGCUCCUAUGACGUUAGCGGCGGACGGGUGAGUAACACGUGGCUAACCUACCUAUAAGACUGGGAUAACUUCGGGAAACCGGAGCUAAUACCGGAUAAUAUAUUGAACCGCAUGGUUCAAUAGCUAAAGACGGUUUUGCUGUCACUUAUCGAUGGAUCCGCGCCGCAUUAGCUAGUUGGUAAGGUAACGGCUUACCAAGGCAACGAUGCGUAGCCGACCUGAGAGGGUGAUCGGCCACACUGGAACUGAGACACGGUCCAGACUCCUACGGGAGGCAGCAGUAGGGAAUCUUCCGCAAUGGGCGAAAGCCUGACGGAGCAACGCCGCGUGAGUGAUGAAGGUCUUCGGAUCGUAAAACUCUGUUAUUAGGGAAGAACAAAUGUGUAAGUAACUAUGCACGUCUUGACGGUACCUAAUCAGAAAGCCACGGCUAACUACGUG
rnacentral:rRNA from 1 species